AGACAACCCACUCCUGGCUGAAGCCAGAGCUCCACAGUCCAUGUGAAAUCCCACCUGCAAUUCUGCAACUGCUUGUAAAGAAAAGAUUUGCUCGUAAUGGAGAAGAGUAAAAUUGAUGAGGCCACAUUGUUCUGGCUCCAGAGCUACUGAACUGAAAGGAAAAACUGGGAGAGAAACUCAACCUUCCAGCCAGACAUGAAUAACAGGAGCACGACAGUGACCACUUGAGCAUAUCAGGUGACACAAAAAGAAGAUGUGGAAGAGCAAUUCAUCCCAGAUCUCUGACUCCACGCUGCAUCCAAAUGUGGUAAAACCCUGGAAAGCUCUGACGUAGGAGAGCCCUGCUUGUCCCGGCCUGAUCCUGAAUGACACUGACACCCACUGACUUUUCCCUGUAACAGAUGCUUAGGAAAAGUAUGAGAAUUGGAAUAAAUGGUAGGAAAAAAAAGGAGGCUGAUUUCCAAAAUACACUCUUUAAAUGCAGGGCACUGGAAUGUGUGGCAGGGCUGGAAUACAGCAUUGACCAGAUUCCUCACGUUUCCUGACUUUAUUACUCUCCUGAAUAUGGAGAAAGGGAAAGAAUAAAGACCUCUCAGGCAGGAAUAAAGCUCAAAUCUCAGUUUCUCAAACUCAAUAAAUGAUCAAGGAGGGGUUGUGCAUGGCAGAGAGAAUUACCCUGGUAAUCUCCUGACCCUCCUGUUCUCCCCACCCAACACUUGCACUGGAAGAUGGCUGUGUUGUAGCACAAUAUAGGGAUUUUCCAGCCAGAAAAUGGGCUGUGAGCACAGGGCAUCUGUAUCCCAAUGCCUUCCCUGCCCUUUACCUCAGUUAGCCCUUUGCAAUAGGCUGCAAUGAAAUCAUGUUCCCAAUAGCAAGAACACAAAAUAACUCAUGAUGUGCCUCAAACUGUGAGAAAAGAGUAUCUGAUCCUGCCCAAACACAGACCUGCUCACUUCAAAGGGGGCAAUAUUUAGAUUGUAAUCAACAUCGCCCUUUUCUGGCCCAAAUAUUCCCUUCUGUGCAUAUUUGCUCAGCCACUGCCCAUCAAGAAAAUCUGCACUGACUGAUGAGAAAGGUGGGGAACAUUUGGAUCUGAGUGGUGCUCCAAGGUAAUGCCUGGAUCCCAGGGAUCAUCCAAGGGCUACAAACCCUGACACCACAGGACUAAGGAUUUUCUCCUGGCUCAUUUUAUUUAUAACCAACAACUUUUGGCAGGGCUAGUGACAAUCCAGAUUUCUGUGUUUUCCACAACACUUCCUGAAUUAAAGCUCUCUCCCAUGUAAGUGAGCAAAGAAACUUCUUCCCUCUCUCAGGGAUGGGGAAACGGGAGCAAAGCACCAAAUUGCAGUCUCAAAGUGUGAUUUAUAACUCCCAGAAGGCACAAGAAAUACCUUUUGCCAUCUUUUUGCUGACUUCAAAAUCUCAGAAUGACCAG